rnacentral:rRNA from 1 species
AUUGAACGCUGGCGGCAUGCCUUACACAUGCAAGUCGAACGGUAACAGGUCUUCGGAUGCUGACGAGUGGCGAACGGGCGAGUAAUACAUCGGAACGUGCCUAGUAGUGGGGGAUAACUACUCGAAAGAGUGGCUAAUACCGCAUGAGAUCUACGGAUGAAAGCAGGGGAUCGCAAGACCUUGUGCUACUAGAGCGGCCGAUGGCAGAUUAGGUAGUUGGUGGGAUAAAAGCUUACCAAGCCGACGAUCUGUAGCUGGUCUGAGAGGACGAUCAGCCACACUGGGACUGAGACACGGCCCAGACUCCUACGGGAGGCAGCAGUGGGGAAUUUUGGACAAUGGGCGCAAGCCUGAUCCAGCAAUGCCGCGUGCAGGAUGAAGGCCUUCGGGUUGUAAACUGCUUUUGUACGGAACGAAAAGCCCCGGGUUAAUACCCUGGGGUCAUGACGGUACCGUAAGAAUAAGCACCGGCUAACUACGUGCCAGCCGCCGGCGUAA